ACUCCUACGGGAGGGCAGCAGUAGGGAAGUCUUCCACAAUGGGCGCAAGCCUGAUGGAGCAACACCGCGUGAGUGAAGAAGGGUUUCGGCUCGUAAAGCUCUGUUGUUAAAGAAGAACACGUAUGAGAGUAACUGUUCAUACGUUGACGGUAUUUAACCAGAAAGUCACGGCUAACUACGUGCCAGCAGCCGCGGUAAUACGUAGGUGGCAAGCGUUAUCCGGAUUUAUUGGGCGUAAAGAGAGUGCAGGCGGUUUUCUAAGUCUGAUGUGAAAGCCUUCGGCUUAACCGGAGAAGUGCAUCGGAAACUGGAUAACUUGAGUGCAGAAGAGGGUAGUGGAACUCCAUGUGUAGCGGUGGAAUGCGUAGAUAUAUGGAAGAACACCAGUGGCGAAGGCGGCUACCUGGUCUGCAACUGACGCUGAGACUCGAAAGCAUGGGGUAGCGAACAGGAUUAGAUACCCU
rnacentral:rRNA from 1 species